rnacentral:rRNA from 1 species
AUUGAACGCUGGCGGCAGGCUUAACACAUGCAAGUCGAGCGGAGUGAUGGUGCUUGCACUAUCACUUAGCGGCGGACGGGUGAGUAAUGCUUAGGAAUCUGCCUAUUAGUGGGGGACAACAUCUCGAAAGGGAUGCUAAUACCGCAUACGUCCUACGGGAGAAAGCAGGGGAUCACUUGUGACCUUGCGCUAAUAGAUGAGCCUAAGUCGGAUUAGCUAGUUGGUGGGGUAAAGGCCUACCAAGGCGACGAUCUGUAGCGGGUCUGAGAGGAUGAUCCGCCACACUGGGACUGAGACACGGCCCAGACUCCGACGGGAGGCAGCAGUGGGGAAUAUUGGACAAUGGGGGGAACCCUGAUCCAGCCAUGCCGCGUGUGUGAAGAAGGCCUUAUGGUUGUAAAGCACUUUAAGCGAGGAGGAGGCUUACCUAGUUAAUACCUGGGAUAAGUGGACGUUACUCGCAGAAUAAGCACCGGCCAACUCUGUGCCAGCCGCCGCAGUAA